ensembl:processed_transcript
UCGGACGAUCGGGCCGAACCCAGAGCGCGCAUGCCCCAUUCGUGUCCCUUGUCCUAAGUUAAGGAGUAAACUCUGCUUAGGACGUUUGGCUUGUGACAUUUCGGUGGCGGACACCCAACGUCUUAAACUUAAGUGAUUAAGUGAAGACCUGCACUUAAUCCUGCAGAUCCAGCACCGGGACAGAGCCUCUCUCUUCUGAUGACAUGCCCAGCUGUAUCUCAGAGGAGAUUGUUAAGUCAGAACAGCGACCUCCAUGCCGACAGAGGGGAACGGCUACCAAAAUGACCUUCCAAAGGACGGCCACCUCUGUAAUGCUGUUAUACAGUGGUAACAGGAAAAUAAAGUCCUAACAGUAAAGGAAAAAGGUGAACAAGGAAAAGGUCUUUAAAAAAUUAUUUAUUUAUUUUAUGUAUAUGAGUAUAUUGUAGCUAUACACAUGAUUGUGAGCCUUCAUGUGGUUGUUGGGAAUUGUAUUUAGGACCUCUGCUCGAUCAGUCAGUUCCACUCUUUCAGUCUCUGCUCGCUCUGGCCCAAAGAUUUAUUUAUUAUUAUACAUAAGCACACUGUAGCUGUCUUCAGACGCACCAGAAGAGGGCGUCAGAUCUCAUUACGGGUGGUUGUGAGCCACCAUGUGGUUGCUGGAAUUUGAACUCAGGACCUUCAGAAGAACAGUCAGUGAUCUUACCCGCUGAGCCAUCUCGCCAGCCCGAAAAUGUCUUUUUCUAAGCCCAUAUAUUCCCUUCUCAUCUGUGAUAUGUAAUACAUCAGUGGCCCUCCACUGAAGUCAUUUGGACCAAGAGAUGUUGUAAAACACUUUUAAUUUCCAUAAGCCAUGUAGUCUUCUUUAUUACAUAAAUAGGAGCAGCCGUGAGCAUGCAUGAGCUAAGAACAGAUUUAUUGAUCAUAGCAAGAAGUAACAGGUAGCGAUAGGCAAGUGAUAGACACGGACCUGCUGCACAUACAGAAGACCCAUAAGCUAGAGAGACUUCACUGAGGCCUGUUAGUGAAGCGGUUGGGUUUAAUUAACUAAGAGGGAUUGUUGUCUAUGAAUAAACACAAUACAACAAGCUCUCCACCUUGCUUAGGCAGCCAUCUUUAAAUUACAUGUAAAUUCUUCCCUUGUCUGCAGAAUCGUUUUGUAGAAAUCGUCAUUCCUGUAUAUAAUCUGUCUGAAUGAGAUGCAUUAGCGGGACACCGGUAGCUAACAUUGGAAGUAAUGUUGCAGUGCCUUGUGUGCAGAUCUUCACUACACACGUGAAAGCUGGCUUCGUAGCUAGAGUACUGCCCUCAGAGCCCCCAGGUAGUUUGUUUAAUUGCACCCAUGAAAGUUCUGUAGGAUGUGGCAGCUGGUCUUACAGAAUGCUCACCCACCCUUCUCAUACUCUUUCCCACAGCUGCCAACCGUCAUCUUGUGUUUGGUAAGAGUCGGAAAGUGAGGAAGACCACUGGGAGGACACGAACCUUGCUGUCACCCAUCUAAUAGCUGCUGGCCACCUCUGGACGGGUGAGGGAGGCCAAAGCCUAUUUGCUAAGGUGCUGAUUGAGACUCUGGAACACCAGUUCCUUCCCUUAAUAUAAAAUCAACUUGGAGCCAAGUCAUUUAAGACCUUUUGAAAACUGACUCUAAAAUAGCGUGUGCUAUCUUGAGGAAGAAAAUAAACCAUGAUUUAGUUAAUGAGAUGAUGCAUAGGGAAAGGGCAGCCUUAUAUGGUGUUCUUACACAGAGAGGGGGCAUGGUUGGUAAAAACGAGGCC